ACACACACAAACGAGGGGGGUAUUUUGAGUCACGGAAAUCGUGAUCGUGGUGGAGUUUCAGCACCGCGGCCAGAGCCCUGUGAGAACAAAAGGCGGAUUAGCGUCCUGAAAUCAGGCACCGUCUCUAAAUUACUCCCUCAAACACAAAACGAAAAUUUAUUAUUUAGUCGAAUAUAAUAAGCAGACCGUCCAAAAUUAUCUGGAAAAUAUUAACCUUCAAAGUUGCAUUCCCUGAAAAAUGUGCGGUUGAAUUUGUUCAGUCAUUUAAGAGAAAUGAUGUCUAGUUUACAUAAACAAUAUUAUGGUUCUCAUCAAAACUUGAUAUUUCAUUGCUUACACCCAAAAACGUGGGUCAGUCAGAGUUAAUAGAAUAUACUACGUUUUUGAAUAUACACGUUUUUAUUUACUAGACUAAGCUAUAGUAUAGUAUUGAUACAUGGUAACAUGGCUGUGGCAAAGCUUUAGUGACCAGGUUCAAUCCUCAGCUCAGGUCAGAGCAUGGGGUUUGAUUUUAUUCAAAGUUUUGAAAAUACAUGAUAAAAUUGUCUUGAAAACUGACAAACACAUAUAAAUUGAUUCAAUUCAAUUUUAUUUGUAUAGCUCCUACCACAAAGCAGCUUCAGGGAAACAAGUUAUGAAUUCUGGAUACAGAUUUUAAAUGUAUAAAUUUAUUUCUAAAGCGCAAGCCAAAAGUGACAGAGGUGAGAAAAUACUCAUGAAAAGACAACAUGAGGAAGAAACUUGAGAGGAACCAAACUCUCAUCUACAGUAGGUGACACUGGAGCGUGAGAUUCUAGAAACCUACUAUUACAUUUAUUGAGCUUUAUUUUCUGUUAUACAAAAUUGAAACAAAUAUUUUUUCUGAUAGUCAUAAUCUCCUGUUUUUUGGUGUGGAUUUAAAACAAGGACUCAGUAGUGAGUAGCUCCAGCGUUCUUGUUGAUAAUUUCAAACACUCUUUCAGCUUGAUGCAACUGUUUCCAGGAGGCUGGUGGGAAUGUUGCUCCAUGUGGUGAAGAUGGCUUCACGAAGGGCAUCCACAGUCUGAAACUGUCGUCCGUUUCUUUAAACUUCCCUUGCCAUCCAUCCCCACACAUUCUCAAGGAGAUUUACAUCAUUGAAACAACUUCCAGAAGUGCAACGUUAUUGUCCUGGAAGAAGUCCAUCAUCAGGGGGAGGUCUGGACACGGACAGGGGGAGACACCGACUUACGACGUCAAAGCAAAGGACUACACAGAUUCACAUCCCAGACACUGGGUAGCCUCCUACCAUCAUCUUCUCCGUUACGGGAUUGGGUUUGUUAUUGUUGGUGUUUUCUGAGGCUUCGUGUUAGGGAUCUGGACACUGAGCAUCUCAUAGCUGGUGGAUUAUCAGCCUGUCGAAGCCUUCCAUCAGAAGUGAAAGUGUGGGAAGACGCGAUCAGGACGGAUUAAAGGCUUUUUCCCCCCAAAGGGAAGCUUUGGGAAGCGUCUGACCUCGUAAAAGAAGAAGCAGAGUCGCAGCUUCGUCACCGUCCCCAAUGAAGGAGCCGGACGCCAUCAAGCUCUUCAUCGGCCAGAUCCCUCGCAAUCUGGAGGAGAAGGACCUCAAGCCUAUCUUUGAGCAGUUUGGAAAGAUCUAUGAACUGACCGUGAUCAAGGACAAGUACACAGGCAUGCACAAAGGAUGCGCGUUCUUGACGUACUGUGCCAGAGAGUCUGCACUGAAAGCCCAAAAUGCCUUACAUGAGCAGAAGACAUUGCCAGGGAUGAACCGACCCAUUCAGGUGAAACCUGCAGACAGUGAGGGCCGUGGAGACAGGAAGCUGUUUGUGGGAAUGUUGGGGAAGCAGCAGUCAGACACCGAUGUGAGAAAGAUGUUCGAGCCUUUCGGCAGUAUAGAGGAGUGCACCGUGCUCAGAGGUCCAGACGGAGCCAGUAAAGGUUGUGCAUUUGUGAAAUAUCAGAGCAAUGCAGAGGCUCAAGCGGCCAUUAACACUCUUCACGGAAGCCGCACUCUGCCGGGCGCCUCUUCCAGUCUGGUGGUGAAGUUUGCAGAUACGGAGAAGGAACGAGGCAUCAGGCGCAUGCAGCAGGUUGCCUCUCAGCUGGGUGUCAUCAGCCCCAUGAGCCUCCACUUGGGGGCCUACAACGCUUACACACAGGCUCUGGUUCAGCAGCAGGCUUUGGUAGCUCAGUCUGCCUAUCUGUCUCCCGUGGCAACGGUUGCCGCGGUGCAGAUGCAGCAGUUGGCUGCUCUUAACCCGAGCAGUAUCAUAGCGACACCUAUCGCAUCAAUCACCCCAUCUUCAGGUGCGAGCACUCCUCCAACGAUCGCUGCCACACCAGUGUCUGCUCUCCCUCCACCAAUUGCAGUCAAUAGUUACUCAGCUGUUCCUGCCCCACCCAGUGGCCAAUCAGCCUCUGAAACAUUGUACACCAACGGCGUCCACCAGUAUCAAGCUCAGAGUCCUGCUUUGGAUCCUCUACAGCAAGCGUACACUGGAAUGCAGCAUUACACUGCCACAUAUCCUGCAGCUUAUGGUUUAGUCGGUCAGCCUUUCCCCCAUCAGCCCACGCUAGUUGCUCAGCAAACCCAACAGCCUCAGCAGCUGCAGCAGCGAGAAGGUCCAGAGGGAUGUAAUAUUUUCAUCUAUCACCUGCCACAGGAGUUCACUGACUCUGAGAUGCUGCAAAUGUUUCUGCCGUUCGGCAACGUCAUCUCAGCCAAGGUUUUUGUCGACCGUGCAACCAAUCAGAGCAAAUGCUUCGGCUUUGUAAGCUUCGACAACCCCGCCAGCGCUCAGACUGCCAUCCAGGCCAUGAAUGGAUUUCAGAUUGGCAUGAAAAGACUGAAAGUGCAGCUGAAAAGGCCCAAAGAUGCCAACCGCCCAUACUAACAUGGCCAGGCUGCCCUGGCCAAUCAUAACUCGUGCGGAGACCACGUCGCUAUGGCUACGGUGGCCAUAGCAACCAAUAAAGCUUCCCCCUUCCUGUCACAGCGUUUGUUGUUUAAAAAAAAAAGAAGACUGAAGAAGUUGGUUUGGAGAAAAAAAAAAUUUCCUCAACUGUAAAUGAAUUAUGGGACCAACUGCUCAUUUUAAAUACCUGCUA